rnacentral:rRNA from 1 species
UACGUAGGGUGCGAGCGUUGUCCGGAAUUAUUGGGCGUAAAGAGCUCGUAGGCGGUGUGUCACGUCGGCCGUGAAAACCUGCAGCUUAACUGUGGGCGUGCGGUCGAUACGGGCAUCACUGGAGUUCGGCAGGGGAGACUGGAAUUCCUGGUGUAGCGGUGAAAUGCGCAGAUAUCAGGAGGAACACCAGCGGCGAAGGCGGCGCUCUGGGCUGGAACUGACGCUGAGGAGCGAAAGCGUGGGGAGCAAACAGG